UUGUCGGUUUCCUGUGUUGCCUACCUAAUAUACGGUAUUGAUUUGGCUUAUCAAAGUUCUGUUCGUCUUUCGUCAUAUGCUUAUGACGUAGGAUGAACCCUAAACCUGUCUCUUUGAACCACAUCAUUUAUGCUUGUGUUGAUGUAGUGGCGCAUUGAGCCUUGCUUGGUCUCUUCGAUGUAGUACUUGAUGUGGGCAUGGGUCUCAUGGGAUCCUUGUUUUGUCCCUGUUUAGUGUUUACGCUCCCUAAAAUGACUGCUUGACACGCUUUGGCUCGUAACAACGUGUUAGGCUUUGUCUAAGAGGAAUGUUACCUGGU
rnacentral:misc_RNA from 1 species